UAGGGAAUCUUCGGCAAUGGACGAAAGUCUGACCGAGCAACGCCGCGUGAGUGAAGAAGGUUUUCGGAUCGUAAAACUCUGUUGUUAGAGAAGAACAACGACGUUAGUAACUGAACGUCCCCUGACGGUAUCUAACCAGAAAGCCACGGCUAACUACGUGCCAGCAGCCGCGGUAUUACGUAGGUGGCAAGCGUUGUCUGGAUUUAUUGGGCGUAAAGCGAGCGCAGGCGGUUUCUUAAGUCUGAUGUGAAAGCCCCCGGCUCAACCGGGGAGGGUCAUUGGAAACUGGGAGACUUGAGUGCAGAAGAGGAGAGUGGAAUUCCAUGUGUAGCGGUGAAAUGCGUAGAUAUAUGGAGGAACACCAGUGGCGAAGGCGGCUCUCUGGUCUGUAACUGACGCUGAGGCUCGAAAGCGUGGGGAGCAAACAGG
rnacentral:rRNA from 1 species